AUAUAUAUAUAUAUAUAUAUAAAUACAUAUAAAGCCCUUCCCUUUUCUCUUCCUAUUUUCUUCUCCCUUUCGACCUCUUACGUAAACUCUCUUUUCUAACAACAUAUAUAUAUGUAUAACACUUCCCUUUUCUCUUCUUUCUUUUUUCUCUCUCUCUCUCUCUCUCUCUCUUAUGACUUCCCUCAUAAACUCUCUUUCUUUUAUGCUUUUAGCUUGCUUCACACAACUUUUUCU
rnacentral:lncRNA from 1 species